UCUGUUGUGAAGCUGGCCCCUGGGGCUGCAGGUGGGCUGGGGGGUGAUCUGCUUCUAAGCUCACCCGUGUGGUUGUCUGGCUGUCAGCUGGAAGCCUAGUUUCCUCACCGGGUGUUGGCUGGAGACCCAGUUCCUCACCACGUGGGUCUCUCUACAGACCGAGCGUCCUUGUGAUAUGGCAGCCAGCUUCCUCCAGAAUGAGUGAUCCAGGGAGCACCCCAGAUGGAAGCCGGAGCUUCUGCCCGAUUCUGUUGGUCACACAGACCAACCCUGGUUCCAAGGGUGCUACUAGCACUUUAAAGCCUGCUUAUGUGACCUCCGUUCUACCUCCUCUACAAUCCACCAUCUUCCUGGGCACGGUAGAGUGGAAGAAGUCCUGUGUUUAGGAGAGCUCUGCUAUGUUGUAUUAAUUCCUUAUCCUCGCACUGGAAGCUUGUAGGAGUUCAAAUUUUUUUUAACAGUCUGUCAAGGAAAAUAACCAGCUUGAAAUGUGUCAUGUCUAGAAUAGCCUUACCCUCUACAAAGGUGAUUUAAAGUGUUUAUAUUCAUAUAUUAAAUAA